rnacentral:rRNA from 1 species
CCUACGGGAGGCUGCAGUGGGGAAUAUUGCGCAAUGGGGGGAACCCUGACGCAGCAACGCCGCGUGAAGGAUGAAGGCCUUCGGGUUGUAAACUUCUUUGAUUGGGGAAGAAAUUUGACGGUACCCAAAGAACAAGCCACGGCGUAAUACGUAGGUGGCGAGCGUUGUCCGGAAUUACUGGGUGUAAAGGGCGUGUAGGCGGGGAUGCAAGUCAGAUGUGAAAUUCCGGGGCUCAACCCCGGCACUGCAUCUGAAACUGUGUCUCUUGAGUGCUGGAGAGGAAAGUGGAAUUCCUAGUGUAGCGGUGAAAUGCGUAGAGAUUAGGAGGAACACCAGUGGCGAAGGCGACUUUCUGGACAGUAACUGACGCUGAGGCGCGAGAGCGUGGGGAGCAAACAGGCUUAGAUACCCGAGUAGUC